rnacentral:rRNA from 1 species
UUAAGCGACUAAGCGUACACGGUGGAUGCCCUGGCAGUCAGAGGCGAUGAAGGACGUGCUAAUCUGCGAUAAGCGUCGGUAAGGUGAUAUGAACCGUUAUAACCGGCGAUUUCCGAAUGGGGAAACCCAGUGUGAUUCGUCACACUAUCAUUACGUGAAUACAUAGCGUAAUGAAGCGAACCGGGGGAACUGAAACAUCUAAGUACCCCGAGGAAAAGAAAUCAACCGAGAUUCCCCCAGUAGCGGCGAGCGAACGGGGAACAGCCCAGAGUCUGAAUCAGCUUGUGUGUUAGUGGAACGGUCUGGAAAGUCCGACGGUACAGGGUGAUAGUCCCGUACACCAAAAUGCACAGGUUGUGAACUCGAAGAGUAGGGCGGGACACGUGGUAUCCUGUCUGAAUAUGGGGGGACCAUCCUCCAAGGCUAAAUACUCCUGACUGACCGAUAGUGAACCAGUACCGUGAGGGAAAGGCGAAAAGAACCCCGGCGAGGGGAGUGAAAAAGAACCUGAAACCGUGUACGUACAAGCAGUGGGAGCCUCUUUAUGGGGUGACUGCGUACCUUUUGUAUAAUGGGUCAGCGACUUAUAUUCUGUAGCAAGGUUAACCGAAUAGGGGAGCCGAAGGGAAACCGAGUCUUAACUGGGCGUUAAGUUGCAGGGUAUAGACCCGAAACCCGGUGAUCUAGCCAUGGGCAGGUUGAAGGUUGGGUAACACUAACUGGAGGACCGAACCGACUAAUGUUGAAAAAUUAGCGGAUGACUUGUGGCUGGGGGUGAAAGGCCAAUCAAACCGGGAGAUAGCUGGUUCUCCCCGAAAGCUAUUUAGGUAGCGCCUCGUGAAUUCAUCUUCGGGGGUAGAGCACUGUUUCGGCUAGGGGGUCAUCCCGACUUACCAACCCGAUGCAAACUGCGAAUACCGAAGAAUGUUAUCACGGGAGACACACGGCGGGUGCUAACGUCCGUCGUGAAGAGGGAAACAACCCAGACCGCCAGCUAAGGUCCCAAAGUCACAGUUAAGUGGGAAACGAUGUGGGAAGGCUCAGACAGCCAGGAUGUUGGCUUAGAAGCAGCCAUCAUUUAAAGAAAGCGUAAUAGCUCACUGGUCGAGUCGGCCUGCGCGGAAGAUGUAACGGGGCUAAACUGUGCACCGAAGCUGCGGCAGCGACACUAUGUGUUGUUGGGUAGGGGAGCGUUCUGUAAGCCGUUGAAGGUGUCCUGUGAGGGGUGCUGGAGGUAUCAGAAGUGCGAAUGCUGACAUAAGUAACGAUAAUGCGGGUGAAAAACCCGCACGCCGGAAGACCAAGGGUUCCUGUCCAACGUUAAUCGGGGCAGGGUGAGUCGACCCCUAAGGCGAGGCCGAAAGGCGUAGUCGAUGGGAAACAGGUUAAUAUUCCUGUACUUGGUGUUACUGCGAAGGGGGGACGGAGAAGGCUAUGUUAGCCGGGCGACGGUUGUCCCGGUUUAAGCAUGUAGGCGGAGAGUUUAGGUAAAUCCGGACUCUUUUAACGCUGAGGUGUGAUGACGAGGCACUACGGUGCUGAAGUAACAAAUGCCCUGCUUCCAGGAAAAGCCUCUAAGCAUCAGGUAACAUCAAAUCGUACCCCAAACCGACACAGGUGGUCAGGUAGAGAAUACCAAGGCGCUUGAGAGAACUCGGGUGAAGGAACUAGGCAAAAUGGUGCCGUAACUUCGGGAGAAGGCACGCUGAUAUGUAGGUGAAGUGGUUUACCCAUGGAGCUGAAAUCAGUCGAAGAUACCAGCUGGCUGCAACUGUUUAUUAAAAACACAGCACUGUGCAAACACGAAAGUGGACGUAUACGGUGUGACGCCUGCCCGGUGCCGGAAGGUUAAUUGAUGGGGUUAGCGGCAACGCGAAGCUCUUGAUCGAAGCCCCGGUAAACGGCGGCCGUAACUAUAACGGUCCUAAGGUAGCGAAAUUCCUUGUCGGGUAAGUUCCGACCUGCACGAAUGGCGUAAUGAUGGCCAGGCUGUCUCCACCCGAGACUCAGUGAAAUUGAACUCGCUGUGAAGAUGCAGUGUACCCGCGGCAAGACGGAAAGACCCCGUGAACCUUUACUAUAGCUUGACACUGAACACUGGUCCUUGAUGUGUAGGAUAGGUGGGAGGCUUUGAAGCGCGGACGCCAGUUCGUGUGGAGCCAACCUUGAAAUACCACCCUUUAAUGGCUGGUGUUCUAACGUAGACCCGUAAUCCGGGUUGCGGACAGUGUCUGGUGGGUAGUUUGACUGGGGCGGUCUCCUCCUAAAGAGUAACGGAGGAGCACGAAGGUUAGCUAAUCCUGGUCGGACAUCAGGAGGUUAGUGCAAAGGCAUAAGCUAGCUUGACUGCGAGAGUGACGGCUCGAGCAGGUGCGAAAGCAGGUCUUAGUGAUCCGGUGGUUCUGAAUGGAAGGGCCAUCGCUCAACGGAUAAAAGGUACUCCGGGGAUAACAGGCUGAUACCGCCCAAGAGUUCAUAUCGACGGCGGUGUUUGGCACCUCGAUGUCGGCUCAUCACAUCCUGGGGCUGAAGUAGGUCCCAAGGGUAUGGCUGUUCGCCAUUUAAAGUGGUACGCGAGCUGGGUUUAGAACGUCGUGAGACAGUUCGGUCCCUAUCUGCCGUGGGCGCUGGAGAAUUGAGGGGGGCUGCUCCUAGUACGAGAGGACCGGAGUGGACGCAUCACUGGUGUUCGGGUUGUCAUGCCAAUGGCAUUGCCCGGUAGCUAAAUGCGGAAGAGAUAAGUGCUGAAAGCAUCUAAGCACGAAACUUGCCCCGAGAUGAGUUCUCCCUGACUCCUUGAGAGUCCUGAAGGAACGUUGAAGACGACGACGUUGAUAGGUCGGGUGUGUAAGUGUAGCGAUACAUUGAGCUAACCGAUACUAAUGAACCGUGAGGCUUAACCU